rnacentral:tRNA from 1 species
UUAACUGAAACCAAAGAAGGAGGUAUAUUAUUGUUAAUAAUAAAAAUGAAUUAAAGUUCCGGUUAAG